rnacentral:rRNA from 1 species
UUCGCCCUUAGAGUUUGAUCCUGGCUCAGGACGAACGCUGGCGGCGCGCCUAACACAUGCAAGUCGAACGAGAGAGAGGGAGCUUGCUUCCUCAAUCGAGUGGCGAACGGGUGAGUAACGCGUGAGGAACCUGCCUCAAAGAGGGGGACAACAGUUGGAAACGACUGCUAAUACCGCAUAAGCCCACAGGUCGGCAUCGACCAGAGGGAAAAGGAGCAAUCCGCUUUGAGAUGGCCUCGCGUCCGAUUAGCUAGUUGGUGAGAUAACAGCCCACCAAGCCGACGAUCGGUAGCCGGACUGAGAGGUUGAUCGGCCACAUUGGGACUGAGACACGGCCCAGACUCCUACGGGAGGCAGCAGUGGGGGAUAUUGCACAAUGGGGGAAACCCUGAUGCAGCGACGCCGCGUGAGGGAAGACGGUUUUCGGAUUGUAAACCUCUGUCUUUAGGGACGAAAAAAUGACGGUACCUAAGGAGGAAGCCACGGCUAACUACGUGCCAGCAGCCGCGGUAAUACGUAGGUGGCAAGCGUUGUCCGGAAUUACUGGGUGUAAAGGGAGCGUAGGCGGGGAGACAAGUUGAAUGUCUAAACUAUCGGCUUAACUGAUAGUCGCGUUCAAAACUAUCACUCUUGAGUGCAGUAGAGGUAGGCGGAAUUCCUAGUGUAGCGGUGAAAUGCGUAGAUAUUAGGAGGAACACCAGUGGCGAAGGCGGCCUACUGGGCUGUAACUGACGCUGAGGCUCGAAAGCGUGGGUAGCAAACAGGAUUAGAUACCCUGGUAGUCCACGCCGUAAACGAUGAUUACUAGGUGUGGGGGGACUGACCCCUUCCGUGCCGGAGUUAACACAAUAAGUAAUCCACCUGGGGAGUACGACCGCAAGGUUGAAACUCAAAGGAAUUGACGGGGGCCCGCACAAGCAGUGGAGUAUGUGGUUUAAUUCGAAGCAACGCGAAGAACCUUACCAGGUCUUGACAUCGAGCGACGAACCAAGAGAUUGGUUCUUCCUUCGGGACGCGAAGACAGGUGGUGCAUGGUUGUCGUCAGCUCGUGUCGUGAGAUGUUGGGUUAAGUCCCGCAACGAGCGCAACCCUUAUCAUUAGUUGCUACGCAAGAGCACUCUAAUGAGACUGCCGUUGAUAAAACGGAGGAAGGUGGGGAUGACGUCAAAUCAUCAUGCCCCUUAUGACCUGGGCUACACACGUACUACAAUGGUGAUCAAACAGAGGGAAGCAACACAGCGAUGUGAAGCAAAUCCCGAAAAAUCAUCUCAGUUCAGAUUGCAGGCUGCAACUCGCCUGCAUGAAGUCGGAAUUGCUAGUAAUCGCGGAUCAGCAUGCCGCGGUGAAUACGUUCCCGGGCCUUGUACACACCGCCCGUCA